UACAGAGGGUGCGAGCGUUGUUCGGAAUUACUGGGCGUAAAGGGCGCGUAGGCGGUCAGCACAAGUCAGUUGUGAAAUCUCCGGGCUUAACUCGGAAAGGUCAACUGAUACUGUGCGACUAGAGUGCGGAAGGGGCAACUGGAAUUCUCGGUGUAGCGGUGAAAUGCGUAGAUAUCGAGAGGAACACCUGCGGCGAAGGCGGGUUGCUGGGCCGACACUGACGCUGAUGCGCGAAAGCCAGGGGAGCGAACGGG
rnacentral:rRNA from 1 species